rnacentral:lncRNA from 1 species
ACGGACGACAAAUACUCCAAAAAGGAGCCCGUUUCGGGGAGUUCGACGGACUCAACGUCCCACAAAAUCCAAUUCUUGGUGGACCCAGUAUGAGGCUCGUCAUGAGUCAACGAGUUCCUCCACGGUGGCGUGCCGCCGUUUGCACGUAAAAACUUACCGCACCAACUUUUGAGCUUGAUUUGAAAGCCGUCUCUGAUGGGCUCCCACUGAAAUAUCCAGUCCAUGUUCUUUUCUUCAGGAACAGCUUGGACAACUUUGUUGCCAGUCAUGCCCAGCAGAAACGGAAUAUUAGAAGCCGUCAAGUACUUGCCGUAGCAGCUCCUGAGACGAAUAACGUUGCCUUUGUUCUCAACUAACUCGACUAUCCAUGUUGCUUUUUU